CCUAGUCCUCUCCCUCCCGGCCGCCGCCGGCGGCGGCUCCGAGUUCCGACGCGCGAUUCAUGAACUCAAUGCACGGGAACUGAUUCUGAAAAGAAAAAAAUGGCGAACUGAGCCUAACUCAUGUGGAACCAGCCCGCUCAGUGGGACUGACAUACCCAUCAACUACGAGGUGCUGUGGUGACUUCGUCAAUCUCAAAAUGAUGUGCCAGACCAGUCUCUCGAAGAUGCUCAUAGGAGUUUGGUGUACGUGCGUGUGUUCACAGGGGUGAGUGUGCGUGCGUAUUUGUGAGCGUCUGCGUCUGUAAUCUGUUUCCUCGGAAAAUAAAAAUGCCACGAGAAAGAGAAGAGGAGUGGGACAAAAAGGAAGAGAAUAGAUGACUAUGGAGUACUCA